ensembl:lncRNA
GCUGGGUGUUGGAGCGAUAGGACAGAGGCCAACGCAGUCCAAGGAGAGCGUGUUGAACUACCAGGAAGCCCUGAGACAACAGAGGAACAGGAAACCAAUGACUCAGAUUAGUGACAGACUGCAAUAUUUUGACGGGAAGAGAUCAGGCGAGAGCGAAGUCAGCACUUUUCCAAGAUCCAGGAAAGAAAGGAGCGAUAAAGACAGGAGAGGAGGAAGAGGGAUUGCUACGAUGCCAAGAUCGAGGCAGAAAUGAAGGUCUAUGACCCUUGGGGAAGGGGGAUGUGGGGCCCUUCUCAGAGAUGACAGGGGAAACCUCAUCAGUACACCAUUGUUGAUUUACUCCAUAGUCAUUAGUCCUCUUUAGUUACUCUCUCUGUUCACUUUAUAGUGACUGUAAAACCAAAAUGAUAACUUCUCUGAAUUUUACUAUGACACCUUUGGUUUCAGUCCCUUUGUUAAGUCUAAACCUCUGGGUUAUUUCUCUGUCAACAUCUCUGGCCCUGGUAUGAAGAGGCAUUGUAGCUGAAUCUGUGAGUCACCACUACGUUGAAAGUGUCUCUGUAGCUGAUGACGAUGCCUCCAGGUGAUCUGAACAGAAUGCACAGGACCAAGGAGGAGGAGUACGUGAACCCAGAGUCCAGGGACAGGUGACAGCCACAGGGCUCUGUAGGCAGGAGUGGAGGACCUAACCCCAGGCAGGAGGACUGGGUACCCUCUACCCAGCGAGUAACAGCUGUCCCAGUUUGCCGGAGGCAACGUGUUCAGUGAUCAGGACACUCCACAGCAGCUCCAGGAGCAGGACACGUUCAAGCAGAGAGCCAGAAGGAUCCUUCCCCUCCUAACCCAGACAUGCAGAAGAGACUGGGCAAGCAGCUCCUUACUCCCAGACCUCUCUCUGCUGUCAGCCAGCUCUCCUCUAGGCCCAGGCACUUGACUGUGUCGAACAUCCACAGGCCCAGGCGCUAUAGCUUUAUUCUGACUCCGCUUUCAUCCCUGGAACUAUACACUCACUGUCGGUGUACGGUUGUGAACUUAACAUGCAUAUUUUAUAGUGGUGACUGUGGCGUGUUUUGAGGUGUUGGAUCAUGUUCCAUACUGUUGUGCUGUGCCCAGGUGUAGAGGGCACCCCAAUGGGGACAUGUUUGAGAUGGCACACCACCCAACUCUGGAGUAGCUGCUGUGGCUGUUCACGUCAACAUGCAGAACACCAGGGAGUUCAACCAGCUCAAAUACAGAGGUAUGACAAUGACAGUCUUUAUGCUAUUAAAAACAAUAAACUGUUUUAAGUGAGAAGUAGGCAUCAGCCUGAAGGAAAUUCACAUGAGCAUCACCAUGCCUACUACACCAAUGCUCGACCAAGGUUUUACAGCACACAGCUUUGAAGUCCAGACCCUGGACAUUAAUAACUGGACAUGAAUCUUCUCCCUCCAUUCUUCUCAUUCUCGCCCUCGCCCAGAUCAAAUAUAGAGAUGAAUUGACACCACCAUCCCAUGCAUUUAAAGACCUAUACCCAAUUUAUGAGUCCCUCUUUUCAUUGGCAAUGUCAUAUUUUUCUAGAAGAAUAACUAUGAUCCAUUCCUGUUCAGUUUGGCCGGAUGUGCAGCCCUCAUCAAGCCCCUCUGUCUCCUCUCCUCUUUGCCAUGGCAUUACUCUGAUGAGGUCAUGGGGCGACUCAUCAUUAAAGCCAUCCAUCAGUAACGGACAGUUUGGCAACGUAAACACAGGGCUGAAACUAAGGAAAUUGACUUUGAAUGGAUUCCUAGUACUGAGUUUAUGUUUGGGUCCAGAGAACACUUCCGACACGCAAACAUACAAAAACGGGGUUAGAAAAGUGGGAGAUAUAGAAGGCGUGUGUACACUGCAGGGUGAAGACAACACUGUAUGCCUGUGUGUUGAGUACACUACAGUGAGCGGACACACAUUGCUUUUGCCUGUGAGCAGAUCGUCUCUUGCUUCCAUUACUAUAGCUCACCAGAGGCCUACCUCUUCCUGUCCCUUGCGGAGGAAGAAGUCUUGUCCUCUCUGCUUGUCUAUGUUCCUCCUAGUCCAUCUGUAGCUCAGUGUUUAGACUGCAGAGUAGCUGAGUCACCAUGGCCUUGGCUCAGUCAGUAUUGACUGAUAGAGGAGGGGAGGGGUUGACAAUAGGAUUAGGUCUAGAUGCUCUUCACCCCCAUAUAAGGUCAGUGUCGAUUAUCAAUUUAAUCUUGGCCACAGCUGAACUAGUCCUGUAAGUGCACAUCACUCCCCCCUGGCUUAGCCUCUCAUCAUAAUGAGCGCUGGCCAGAGAGUCCCUCUGAUUGGCUGGUGUGGGAGGAAAUCCACUAUGAUAGGCUAAUCUGGGCCCAUCUGUACCUCUCUGGCAACAUUAGAGCUGUAUCAGUACACAUGACUACCGCAGCACUCACUGCCUGACAUCUGUGUCAUGGUGAGGAUGUGGUAAUCCUCGAUGCAGGGACUGAGUUGUGUGUGUAACAGACAGCACAUCACAUCAGGAGGUGCAUCACGUGUGCCCCCCCCCACCCCACCAGUGACAAACACAGUCUGGACAUCCAGCAGGCUCUGCUCAGGGAGCAACAACGCAAGAUCAGGAUCAUGAGGAGUCAGGUCAGACACACACUGUCUAACUCAUCUAACUUGAUUUUUAUAGGUGUCUGACGGUCUGUGUUGAUCCUCUCAGAGUGAGAAAACAAUCUGAGACCACCAAAGAGUCUCUUUAUUGGAGUCAGAGAGUGCUGUUAUUGGUGAGCCUGCUGGUCAAACAGCCUCAACACGACUUGAGUCAGUGACAGAAAAAUUGUCCCCCUGAGGAUAUGCUUACUGGAAGGAAUGAAUAGUAAUACAUUAUUACACUGAGGUGGAUAUGGGACACACACACACACACACUGCAGCCAACUGAGGGGAGGGAGGGUCAUUGGGCACCCUCUGGGUGCCUGCCAGUGCCAACACGACAUAGGCCAAGCCAUGGCGCCCACACAGCUGGUAGUAGUCCUGACAGAGCAGAAAGCCUGUGCCAGCUGCAGGGUGGUAGUAGCAUGGCCUUGGUCCGGCUGAAGGGGGAGGGAGGAGAGCAGGCAGGGAAUGUGUAUCUGAGAGUCUACCGCACAAUGCAGAAAACACUUUUUUUUUUUUAAAUGAUAUUACUGUAGAAUAACAUGAGAAGAUUGGAUAAAAUAUAAACAUAAUAUACCUCCAAUAUUGCUAUGCCUUAGUAUUUUAGUACGGCGUAGCAUUUUUAUUAGUUAAGGUUAGGAGAAAGAGACAUCAUCCCACCUUGCCUGUUAGGUGAUGUAUUGUAAAUGUGUUACAGUGUUACGUCCUCAGACGUAUGCAGGGUCCCCGUCCCAAGGGCCAGGGCAGCCCAGGUUGACCUGAGGUCCAGACAGCCCUCAGCCCGGGAGAGGAGAAGGCCUGCCAGAAGGAGAGACUUUGAGGAUGAGAAGGGCCUGUUGCUUCAGUUGAGUCAUCAUCACAUAAUUACAGUGCCACUUCAACAGUCCAUUAAUGUCCUCAAUCUGAGAAGGGCCAUGGGGAAACGUGUCUGAUAAUACACAACAGUCCCUCUUUUUUUAGGCAUUAGAAUGUCUUACAGGAUUUAUGAAAAACAAUGGCCAGUACACAUUUUCUCUGUAGUCUGUACUAACCCGUUCUGCUGUACUGACAGAUGUUUCCAUUCUGUGGCCCAGAACAUGGUGACUGCUGGUUGUCAGAGGGAUGACAAGGGCCAACCGGAUGCCUAGUCUCUGUUCUCUGUGACAAGCCUGCACGUGGAGGGGACCGCACGUACAGGCUUGUGAUAGAAUGACAAGGUUGGAUGUAAGGUCUCAAAGCACCACAAACUGCAACUUAUUCAAUGCUGCAACUCAAUAUAGGCAUUUUGAUAGAAUGUCAUGAGAAAUGCAAAUGUAGGUAUCUAAGUUAGGAUUGGGCCAUGAGGUGUCUGUCUGUUUGAAUGAUGUCUCUCUGGUCUCCAGGGGGGCUGUCAGCCGAUGAAGGGGAUGACCUCUCACUGCGGUCCACCCCGUACUACCCGGUCAGGCGUGUGUCCAUGGAGACUGUUGGCACAGAGCGCUGGCUACGGCCCAGCACGUCAGACACGCUGAAAUUGUUUGGGGCUGGUCAGAACCGGACAGAAACCCGUUACCCACAUCCUGGAUGGGAAGUGGGAUGGGCCCUCCACCUAACAUGGAUGACCCCUUUCAUCUACACAUAGGAUCCCAUUCCCUUCACAGCUUAUUACUUUUGACUAGAGUUUGAGGUCUAUAUUUUAUAUGCAGUCGAUCCCCAAUACAAAUGACAAAAUUAACAUGGUCUAUUUCUGUGUCUGCAUCAGGAGAGCAAAAAACAUCCAUAUUUGUGUUUUUAUGCAGAAAAACACCUGAAUGUUGCUUAUGCAUGUGCGAAUUGUUUAAUCAGAAACCAGGGCAAACGUCAAAUGGAGAUGAGGUAGUAGCAGAGAUAUUUCAGUCUCUGUGUACAACAGCUCCACGUAGUGAGUAGGAUCAGGGCAGCGUCAGAGAGCGGGGAAAAUCUAAAUUGUAGACUUCUUGCGUCCUCUCUCUUUGCCUCCUUCAAAAGAGAAUGUUUGAGGGGCGGGACAUCUGGCUUUCUCAUCCAAUGGGUUUUGAGAAGGAGACAGGAUGUGAGGAGUGUGCAAUUGAGACGGUCCAAGUCUGCUUGGAUAAGUGUGCAGCUAGUACACAGUGAAGAAUUACUGUCCCUGAGCUGCAUCACUCUCACUGCUGUGUGAUAUGGCUACAGCUGCAGGACUACGGUAUGGAAGAAGUAUAGGCUCUGGUCUGCUGAUGGAAGUAACUAUGGUAACCUUUUGACUGGUUUGGUCUGCUGGUGUAAGCAACUAUGGUAACCUUUUGAAUGUACUUUUGCAGAAUUAAUAUGUAUUUAAAACAUGCGAAAUGUGUAUCUGGUGUUGAAAUGUUUGUAUGUAGCAAGAAAAUGUGUGUUAAUAUACAGUAUAGAAAGAUUUGGGGUAAAAAAUAAAUAAUGUUUUUAUAAUCUU